UGGGGAAUAUUGGACAAUGGGCGCAAGCCUGAUCCAGCCAUGCCGCGUGAGUGAUGAAGGCCUUAGGGUUGUAAAGCUCUUUCGACGGGGACGAUAAUGACGGUACCCGUAGAAGAAGCCCCGGCUAACUUCGUGCCAGCAGCCGCGGUAAUACGAAGGGGGCUAGCGUUGCUCGGAAUCACUGGGCGUAAAGGGCGCGUAGGCGGACGUUUAAGUCAGAGGUGAAAGCCCAGGGCUCAACCCUGGAAUGGCCUUUGAUACUGGACGUCUUGAGUCUGGUAGAGGUUGGUGGAACUGCGAGUGUAGAGGUGAAAUUCGUAGAUAUUCGCAAGAACACCGGUGGCGAAGGCGGCCAACUGGACCAGAACUGACGCUGAGGCGCGAAAGCGUGGGGAGCAAACAGGAUUAGAUACCCUGGUAGUCCACGCCGUAAAACGAUGGAUGCUAGCCGUUGGCCGGUUUACCGGUCAGUGGCGCAGCUAACGCGUUAAGCAUCCCGCCUGGGGAGUACGGCCGCAAGGUU
rnacentral:rRNA from 1 species